AUACUGGCAAAUAUCUUCUGCACUCUCUUUAUUGCGACUAGAACAGUACACAGUACUCCAGCUGUGAAAGGCUUUAAAAGCUAUAAUUGAUUUAAAAAAAAUUACAGAUUUCCAUGACAUUGAGAAACUAAAACAUUGACUUAAAAUUACAAUUUAAAAAUGUUAAGGUGAGAUAAUUGAAAAAAACAAGUAAUUCAUCCUCCCUUUUGCUUACCUAAUUCUUUGUCUUGUAUGCACUACUGAAGUUAACGGCAGACCUACAGAUUCAACCUACUAUCAUCAGGCCAAUAACUCCCAUGUAAUACGGCACAGUGCAGACUUUCAGGACACACAGCAACUUCAACAACCCAACGCCAGUCAGCAAAAAUCAGCAAGAUCAGUCCCAAAAUGUAUCUCAAGAAAGCUCUUUCCAGCCCUGUCCAUCGGAUGUAAAGUGAACAAGAUUUACCAGCUAAGGAUCUACCUCUCUUUAUGAAGCAUCACAGCAUGGUUUGGGAACAGCUCCAUCCAAGACCGCAAUAAAUUGCAAAGAAUUGUGGAAACAGCCCAGACCAUCACACAAACUAGCCUCCCUUCCAUUGACUCAAUUUACACCUCUCGCUGCCUCGGCAAGACCAGCAGAAUUAAGGAUAAGUUGCACUGACCACUCCCUCUUCUCCCCUCUCACAUUGGGCAAAAGAGUAAAAAAUGCACAUCUGUUUCUUCCCAGCUGUUAUCAGGCAACUGAACCAUCCUAUCACAACUAGAGAGUAGUCCUGAACUACCUGUGAGCGGACUUUACUGGAUUUAUCUUGCACCAAACGCUAUUCACGUUAUUCCCUUUAUCAUGUACCUGCACACUGUGGAUGGCUUGAUUGUAAUUAUGUAUUGUCUUUCCGCUGACUGGUUACCAGGCAACAAAAGCUUUUCACUGUACCUCGGUCCACAUGAUAAUAAACUAAACUAAACUAAGCUUAACUGAACUAAACAAAAUUGUUCCCAUCCCUAUAUUUUUCAAUCUAUUUGGUGCUAAUCCUUACUGAUCAAAUAUCUUAUGAAAAAUAAUGAACAUAAUGCAUUUACCAUGUCAUGGUGAAAAUAAGGAUAAUCAUCACUCUCAAAUCUGCUACUUUAGAUAUACUGGAGAUAUUUAGGGCACAGAGUUUUUGUCUGAAGCAGAUAUUUAAUUGCAGCUGCUGCAAGAGCAGACCAGAGACUGCAAUGUGAUUGCGUUAUAUGUUGAUGAUGUAAAAAAGGUGGGUGUGGGCGUUGGAGUAGAGAUAAGUGUGUGAGAAUACAGAGGGAUGUAUAAAUGUUAGUUUAGAGUGAUGAUUGAACAAUCUUGCUGUUAGAUAGUGGUAGAGGAACAUGCAGGGAGCAGCGCUGUGGUA